CCCAAACAGCAUCCAGUGAGCGACCUUUAAUUCACAGCCUGGCUGCAGACAGUCAGAGAAACUACAAACAGAGUCCUGUACCAGACAAUCUCUUUGUGAAUUAUCUGUCACAGAUCCAUAGAGUGAAGGAACAUGGAUCCCCCUGUUUGGUAUGACACUGAUGUGAAGUUGUUUGAAAUCCAAGGAGUUUAGCAGUGAACCAUUAAAACGAAAUGCUGCUCCCCUUUACUUUUGCAUUACUAGAGACAUCCUCACAUCCCAAUUUAUGCUUGUCCACACAUAUACAUCAUAGAUAGCUAGACAUCUAUUUGCCUCUAACACAGAUAUGCUCAUCUCUCUCUUUUUCAGUCUUUGACAUGUUUUCUCUGUGGUGGGGUGGGGUUGUUGGGCACUGUGAAAGUCCUGUCCCUCAA